AUAAAGUUAAAUUAUCAAUAAAUUCACAGCGAAUAGGCGAUUACUGAAUGUGUACCUCACGUUAAAAGAUUGAAAAUAAAAUUUUUCUGUUAUAUUUAUUGUAAAAAAAAAGUUUAUUUGUAGAAAGAAGUUAUAGUUCGCAAUAUUUGUCAAGAUGAUCCGAUCCAAUAGCAACGUUUCAAACAUAUCAAUAAAUUCAAAUAGUUCAAACUGGUCUUACUCACCACAAUCUCGCAAACCCACCACUGUGAAAGUAUUCAGCCCUGUUAACAUACGAAAAAUACGUAAACGUAGAAAAAUGGCUGACAGCGAGAAAGAAGAGGAAACAAAUCUUCAAGUGGAAUUCGAAUGGGUUUUACACGAAGAAGUUCACUCUGUUCUCAAGAAUCUUCAUACAAUCCUUGUGGAAUGUGCACAUCGGUUCCCCGUGCCGUUGUAUGGAAACGACGGUCGAAAGAUGGAUAAAUUUGUUUUAACUGUUCCACAAGACAAUCUGAGGUGUGUCGUUACAUUGACUGGUGAUAGUAUUACUCAUGCUGAUAUUAGUUUUAAGGUACAACGAGCUCAAAAUGCCGUUCAACGUACCUCGAUCAAUCAAGAUUCACCAUGGAAAUUACAACAAGUACAGGAUGCUGCCAAUCAUUUACAACAAGCAAUACAUCACAUUGACAAUGUAGACAGUUCCUAUAAUUUUAAAUCGUCCGACGAAGUUCUACACAUCUUAGGAAAUAUAUUAGCUGCACUGCAACGAGGUCGUACCAGUCUAGUCAUACCAAAGAAAAAACCCAUAGACGAAUUGAUGAAGAGCCGAAAUAUGAAAUCGUUAUCGCCGAACCUGCCAGAUGAUUUAGCCAUCAGUUUUUAUUUACAAAGUCACAAGUUAAUAUUUGCCGUCUAUCAGCUGACAAAUGUACAGGGAACUAUGAAAUUUGAUUCAUCGCAAGCUGAAUGUUCUGUACCUUGGUUAAAUGAAGUCUUAGUGUUAUUCACGGUCGCAUUGCAACUGUGUCAGCAAUUAAAAGAUAAGAUAUCGGUAUUUUCGCAAUAUAAAGAUUUUACUGUUGGGUCUCGGUCGCCAUCUGCCCUAUCUUAUUGAUUCUGUUAUUUUGUUACGUGUGUUUGGGAUACCUUGUCAAUUGAGGCUGCAUUACCAAAUUACCAUGCAUGUGGUUAUUGAACAAUUAUUGCAGACUAAUAAUUAAACGUUGUAAAAGUCCAGCUGAAACACACAUCCAACCGAUCAUUUCGUUAAGUUUUAAAGUAAAUAUUUCCAAAUUUAUUUAUAUUCUUCAGAUGUUUAAAAUUAAUUAGAUAAAUUUCAAUUUGGCUAGAUACAAAAUGAAAAUAUUUAGAAUUUUAACCAUGGUUUUAAAUUAGGAUUUAAGACAAUUUUAUUUUAUUUAUAUAAAAUACUUAAUUUCUUAGUAUAUGAUUAUGUCGAAAUUUCUUAAGUUUAUCCUUAAACCAGAGAAUAGGCUAUAGAACAGCAAAGUUUACUUAAAUAUAAAUACGUUAAAUGAAUAUAAUAGACAAAGAUCACAUAAAUUAUUAUUAUAAAAGUACGUAAACGCAUUUUAUAUUUUGAUUUUAUUAAAUUGGUUUAUUUUGAGAAA